rnacentral:rRNA from 1 species
GAUGAACGCUAGCUACAGGCCUAACACAUGCAAGUCGAGGGACCGGCGCACGGGUGAGUAACACGUAUCCAACCUGCCCUUUACUCGGGGAUAGCCUUUCGAAAGAACGAUUAAUACCCGAUAUAAAGGAUGGGGAUGCGUUCCUUUAGGUUGUUGGUGAGGUAACGGCUCACCAAGCCUUCGAUGGAUAGGGGUUCUGAGGGGAAGGUCCCCCGCAUUGGAGCUAAGGCCCAGUCCCAACUGGUACGCGAUGGAGGAGUGAGGAGUAUUAUGGAAGAGGCGCUAGCCUGAACCAGCCAAGUAGCGUGAAGGAUGAAGGCUUAGGGAUCGUAAACUUCUUUGAUAUAAGAGUAUGUAUUAUAUGAAUAAGGAUCGGCUAACUCCGUGCCAGCCGCCGCGGUAAUUC